AUCAACUUUCGAUGGUAGGAUAGAGGCCUACCAUGGUGGUAACGGGUAACGGGGUGUUAGGGCACGACACCGGAGAGGGAGCCUGAGAAACGGCUACCACAUCCAAGGAUGGCAGCAGGCGCGCAAAUUACCCAAUCCCGACACGGGGAGGUAGUGACAAUAAAUAACAAUACGGGGUUCUUUCGGAUUUCGUAAUUGGAAUGAGUACAAUUUAAAUCUCUUAACGAGGAACAAUUGGAGGGCAAGUCUGGUGCCAGCAGCCGCGGUAAUUCCAGCUCCAAUAGCGUAUAUUAAAGUUGUUGCAGUUAAAAAGCUCGUAGUUGAAUUUCGGGGUUAGUAGAUUGGUCAUGCCUCUGGUAUGCACUGGUCUCACUGAUUCCUCCUUCCUGAUGAGCCGUAAUGCCAUUAAUUUGGUGUUGCGGGGAAUUUGGACUGUUACUUUGAAAAAAUUAGAGUGUUUAAAGCAAGCUAACGCUUGAAUACAUUAGCAUGGAAUAAUGAAAUAGGACGUUCGAUCCUAUUUUGUUGGUUUCUAGGAUUGACGUAAUGAUUAAUAGGGAUAGUUGGGGGCAUUAGUAUUCAAUUGUCAGAGGUGAAAUUCUUGGAUUUAUUGAAGACUAACUACUGCGAAAGCAUUUGCCAAGGAUGUUUUCAUUAAUCAAGAACGAAAGUUAGGGGAUCGAAGACGAUCAGAUACCGUCGUAGUCUUAACCAUAAACUAUGCCGACUAGGGAUCGGAUGAUGUUAAUUUUUUAAUGACUCAUUCGGCGCCUUACGGGAAACCAAAGUGUUUGGGUUC
rnacentral:rRNA from 1 species